CCCAGAGGUAUUGAUAGGUGAAAUCAGCUCCGGUUGAUUAACACGAUUUGCACCAACCUGCGUCCAUACGCAGGUUUUUUUU
rfam:Enterobacter sp. 638, complete genome.